rnacentral:rRNA from 1 species
CAGCAGCCACGGGAAUACGAAGGGUGCAAGCGUUAAUCGGAAUUACUGGGCGUAAAGCGCACGUAGGCGGACUUUUAAGUCAGGGGUGAAAUCCCGGGGCUCAACCCCGGAACUGCCUUUGAUACUGGGAGUCUUGAGUUCGAGAGAGGUGAGUGGAAUUGCGAGUGUGGAGGUGAAAUUCGUAGAUAUUCGCAGGAACACCAGUGGCGAAGGCGGCUCACUGGCUCGAUACUGACGCUGAGGUGCGAAAGCGUGGGGAGCAAACAGGAUUAGAUACCCCAGUAGUCCCUGUCUCUUAUAU